AGUGAACGCUGGCGGUAGGCCUAACACAUGCAAGUCGAACGGCAGCACAGUAAGAGCUUGCUCUUACGGGUGGCGAGUGGCGGACGGGUGUGGAAUACAUCGGAAUCUACUUUUUCGUGGGGGAUAACGUAGGGAAACUUACGCUAAUACCGCAUACGACCUACGGGUGAAAGCAGGGGAUCUUCGGCCCUUGCGCGCUUGUAUGAGCCGAUGUCGGAUUCGCUAGUUGGCGGGGUAAGGGCCCACCAAGGCGACGAUCCGUAGCUGGUCUGAGAGGAUGAUCAGCCACACUGGAACUGAGACACGGUCCAGACUCCUACGGGAGGCAGCAGUGGGGAAUAUUGGACAAUGGGCGCAAGCCUGAUCCAGCCAUGCCGCGUGGGUGAAGAAGGCCUUCGGGUUGUAAAGCCCUUUUGUUGGGAAGGAAAGGCGGCAGGUUAAUACGCCGCUGUUCUGACGGUACCCGAAGAAUAAGCACCGGCUAACUUCGUG
rnacentral:rRNA from 1 species